GGAGGGUACAGCUCAGUGGUAGGGUGCAUGCUUAGCAUACACAAGGUCCUGGGUUCAAUCCCCAGUCCCUCCA
rnacentral:tRNA from 1 species